UACGAGGGGGGCGAGCGUUGUUCGGAAUUAUUGGGCGUAAAGGGUGCGUAGGUGGUUUGGUAAGUCUUGUGUGAAAUCUCUGGGCUCAACUCAGAGUCUGCACGAGAAACUGCCGGGCUUGAGUAUGGGAGAGGUGAGUGGAAUUCCUGGUGUAGCGGUGAAAUGCGUAGAUAUCAGGAGGAACACCUGUGGCGAAAGCGGCUCACUGGACCAUAACUGACGCUGAUGCACGAAAGCUAGGGGAGCAAACAGG
rnacentral:rRNA from 1 species